GAAGUGAAACUUCUAUACGCGCGCUGGGAGUAAAUUUUCAAGGCCACGACACACGAGCCAUAAAAGACGAAAAUCCGUCACGAUUUUUAAUUUAUUAUUAUUAUUUUCGGUCGACGGCGUCGGUGUCGUGUUCUGUUCCUGACUCGGAUGGCGCCAGAAUGGCGGGCGCCCUCCGGUCCCUUACAGAACACGAGAACGGCCGCAACAAAGUUCAGCGACUCGUGCGCGCCGGCCAAGAGUCUUCAGUCUUCGAUCAAUGUCAAGGAGCUUAGAAAUAAUUUAUUAUACCUAUUAUCAUUACAAUGAACUUAAUAUGUAAAUAAUUAAAAACUCAGAUGGCUGCACUGCUGAGUCGUGCACAUGAACUUUAUGUUGAAAUGAGACAACGUUAUCAGUCAAAUUGUGGGAAAAAGAGGUUCAACCACUACUAUUUUGUGUAGCAGACUCUUAUACUAUAUAUAUACGUAGAAGACAGAAGAUGUAUAUUCUCACAACAAGCCCAAAAUACAGAUUGGAUGAAUUUUAAUGGUAUGCAGUUGCCUAUAUUAAUCUGUGAAUGACGCAUCGUAAUAUGGAAAAUAUACAUGAGACGCGAUGUGUAUGCAUCAUAUACGUGCAUGUGAAUAUGCUUUGAAAAUACAAAUUCGUGUGAUAAUGACACGCCGAUUCAAUGCCGUAAACCAAAAUAUCAUUAGCGCCCGAUCAAAAAUUGAAUUGGCUAUCCGAACGUCAUUCUACGCUCAUAUGCUGUCAUAUUGCAUAACCAGAACGCCGCUCUAUUGACGACGGUUACAUGAAUACA